CAACCCUAGCCAAAUUAGUCAAAUCCUAAAGAUUAGCAGAUUUGUCCCUUAGCCGCUGCCGCCACGUCUUCCUCGGGGUCUCCCUGAUCCAGCCACCACCCACCAUGGAAUUCCUAAGCCACCCUACCGCAGCUAGUCGCCAGUGGCCACCUCACUCUGUUGUCCCUGGACGUGUCGGACGACCAGAGGACCUCGAGCUCCAAAGGCCCGACCCUCCCUUGCCCCCAUCCCCGAGUACCUGCCCGACCCUGCGCUCGUCUCCUCACCGGAGCGUGCCUCCGGCGGCCGCCCUCGACCAGGCUAGGUCGUCCUGCUCCCUUCCUCCUCCUUCCUUCGGUUUCCUUCUCCACUUCUCAUCUUUCUCUUCCUCACGUUUUUCUACAGGGAGAGUGGAGACCACCAUGGCCAUGACCGCGAGCUCGCCAUGGGUGCCAACUUCUGCAGCCGCCCGCUUGCCAUAGCUCCUCAUGUACGGAUCCGCCUCCGCCGCCCCAGAUCCGCCCGUCCCCGACUCUGACCGCGUGGACCUUCAUGACCUCGUCGGAGGACGGCGGCGUCGUAGCGCCGGAGUUGAGAAGUAGAACAAGAAGAAGCUUUGCAUGGCCUGCACAAACUCGACGCCCAGCGCCGCCUUUUCUAUGGUGAGAGACCUACUAUUGGCCGUUCCCGAUGCCCACGUCCGAGGGCCCCGUCCCUGUCGCGCCCUCGGUCAUUGACCAUAGGCCUGCCCUUGUAGCUCCACCAACGGGUUGAUCUGGCCCGAGGUGAGCCUCCGCCCUGCGUCAUGUCUUGUUCAGUCGAAGCUGAAUCUAGCCAGAACCAGCCUCCUAGUCCGUCUAGCAACAGAGAAAGAUGCUCAUCUAGGAGGUCUGGGGUUCAAAUCCUAGUCGCGCUUGUGUUUUGUUUUUCUUAUUUCCAUUAACCUGUUAAUCUUUGUUAUGCACUCAGAUGCGUCAUAUUAGCAUAGUUCCUCCGUAGCCCAACUAGUCGAGUGUUGCGUUGCAACCGGGAGGUCUUGGGAUCGAGUCCGAGGCAUCCCAUAAUUCCUAUGUCGUUAUCGAACGUUGUCACACGAUCAUGGGCCUGAUAUGCUGCUGGUUGGCACUAUGCCUCCAGAUUCGGCCCACUUAUUUUUUUCUGUGUCUCUGCGAAUUUCAACAAUAUCCACAACAUUGCAUAUUUGCAGCAUUUGCCACUGUUUUAGUAUGUGAAUAACUAAUUAACUGGGCAUAGGAUUAAAAUGUUUUGAACAUGUAAAAUGUCCAGAAUUUUGUGUAGGUUAAUAAUAUCCAACUUUUAUCCUUGUUUUGUUUUUCUUAUUUCCAUUAACCUGUUAAUCUUUGUUAUGCACUCAGAUGCGUCAUAUUAGCAUAGUUCCUCCGUAGCCCAACUAGUCGAGUGUUGCGUUGCAACCGGGAGGUCUUGGGAUCGAGUCCGAGGCAUCCCAUAAUUCCUAUGUCGUUAUCGAACGUUGUCACACGAUCAUGGGCCUGAUAUGCUGCUGGUUGGCACUAUGCCUCCAGAUUCGGCCCACUUAUUUUUUUCUGUGUCUCUGCGAAUUUCAACAAUAUCCACAACAUUGCAUAUUUGCAGCA